AAUGGUUAGAAACUAAUAACACGUGUCUAUGACCCAAUUUGUUUUACUUAAAAAGGAGAGUCAGAGAGGGAACUACAACAGGAAUUCACUUUUCUUCAGCCAUUAAUGGCGAGAAAAGGUGGAAGAGAUGAAGAGGAGAAUUCUCAUAGAAUUUCAAUGUUGUCAUCAACAUCAUCUCGACGCAGAGUAAUGACAGACCCAUUUUUACUUGUCUGCAAAUGCUUCAGCUUCUUUGUAUCCUUGGCUGCAAUUCUCUGCAUACUUGUUAAUAUCCUUUCUGCAUUCAAAUCAUUCAAAAAUGGAUCAGACAUUUUUCCGAUGUUAUGCAGUUGCAAUCGCAGUAUUCGUUGUUGUUGCAGAAACAGAAUGCAGAUUCAUUUUAAGGUUUUGGAGGGUAUUAGAAUACUGGGCUGGUAGAGGAAUGCUUCAGAUCUUGUAGUGUUGCCGUGAUGACAAGAGCUUUCCCUGAUGUUAAUGGAGCGAGAAAAGAUCUUGUUCUACUUCAAGAAGUAUCAAGCUAUUUGCUUCUAGCCUGUGGCAUGACGUAUCUAAUUUCGGCAAUUCUGACUUUUUCAUGAGUACAUGUUUAGGCUAUUUGGUUUCUUGAAAGAGCUGAAGUGAUGAUGGUCUUCUGAGCUGUAUGUAUGCUUGAGAGUGUGUUGAUGUUCCUAACCUCUAUAAAUGCAACCUUGCUCCGAGAUAAUCCUGAUCGGUGUUUGUUGAACAUUCCCAAUUUAUCAGGGUGUUCUAUGCAUUGGUUUUCUAAAACGUGCCCGUCAAUCAAAAGAAAUUACAAGGAUUCAAGCAGUCAAGGAUCUUGAAGAAUUGGAGAGGCGAAAAGGGGAACUUGAAGCGUUACUAGCCAUGGAAAGAGCUUGAGACAGGUUAUCAAGUAGUAGACAAAGGUUGAUGAUUUGAACAUGGUUAAGCAUUUUGUUCGCUCCAGUAGACCAAAAUGAUGCCUCCAGUAGACCAAAAUGAUGCCUUCAUGCGGUCUAGUAGUACACGUGCCUGCAUGAAAAAUCAACUCGUCUUUAUUCAUCUCAGUAUUCAAAAGCAUUGCAGUUUGGAGGAUGAGAAUGAGGUAAAGUUUCCUUGCUGAUAACAUUAUGACCUCUUAAAUUCUUUGAGAUGAAAGCUUGUACAGAUUGUUGAUAAAUUUUAGCUGCUCAAUUGGCAUGCAAUAAAAACAGAUAAAAUACGUUGCAGUCAGAUAGGAAUUUUAGAGAUGCAAUUGAUGAAAGCAGCACAUAAUACAAUUCUCAUCUGUAAUCAAAAUGGUACAUCUCUUUCGAGGUCUAUAUGACUGCUUUGUGAUCCCAAAAUUUCUUCAACAUGUUUUUACACACCCAGUAACUUGAAGUAUCUUCUUCAAAUGGUAGUGCAUUAAGUGUAUAUCUGGAUCGUGCAUUAAAUUUCAGUCUCGGAUCGUGCAUUAGGUGAAUACUAAGCACCUGAUAUAGACUUUGUA